rnacentral:ribozyme from 1 species
ACCCCACAGUGGCGCCACUUCCCCGUAGUGUGGGGUGGGCAACUGCCUCUUUCGAGGCAGGCUAAGCGCGCCA